rnacentral:rRNA from 1 species
GUGGGGAAUAUUGGACAAUGGGCGCAAGCCUGAUCCAGCAAUGCCGCGUGCAGGAAGAAGGCCUUCGGGUUGUAAACUGCUUUUGUACGGAACGAAAAGGCUCUGGUUAAUACCUGGGGCUCAUGACGGUACCGUAAGAAUAAGCACCGGCUAACUACGUGCCAGCAGCCGCGGUAAUACGUAGGGUGCAAGCGUUAAUCGGAAUUACUGGGCGUAAAGCGUGCGCAGGCGGUUUUGUAAGACAGACGUGAAAUCCCCGGGCUCAACCUGGGAAUGGCGUUUGUGACUGCAAAGCUGGAGUGCGGCAGAGGGGGAUGGAAUUCCGCGUGUAGCAGUGAAAUGCGUAGAUAUGCGGAGGAACACCGAUGGCGAAGGCAAUCCCCUGGGCCUGCACUGACGCUCAUACACGAAAGCGUGGGGAGCAAACAGGAUUAGAUACCCUUGUAGUCC